GGCGUGCGUUUUCAGCAGCGGUGGUAACAACUUCUUUUUCACGCUCUAAGUUCUUAUUUGUCUUUUUCAUCUCUUUUGAGUAGAGAAGCUACGUCGGCAGCUUCAAGAACGUCCCCAGCCGGGGCGCCCACACUGGAUAGAGUAAGAUCAAUACCUCCAGUUCCUGUCACGACUGUAAAGGCACUCGAUGCAGCAGAUAAGGUGUGUCAAAUUAAGAGUGUCGAAAUAAUGCGUGUGUAUUUCUUACGCAGCUUAUGACGAGCGUCACGCUCUUGGCGGAGCUCUGCCUCAAUGUUUGAAAUGCGAACAAGGCGAAAGUUGCUCGUUUCGACUGAUGAACGGUUGGCGGGGUAAAAUGCGGUUUAUUAUCUUGAGAUUGUGAAUCAAUAGAUGCUAGCACCGACUGUAUUUCAGAUUGAAGUUCAAGUAUGUUCAUGUCAGUUGCAUCUAUGGAAGAGCGCGAAAAAGUAGUCCAAGAGUUUGUAAAAAACCGCGCAGAACUCUAGCGGCGCCAAGUCGAUUUCAAAGUGUCUCGACAGUACGAAGGAGAAUUCUUUGAAAGGGCGUCUGAACCAAUUGUUAAUGCUGAAAAAUCUGUAGCAGAAGCUAUUAACAAAAAACAAGACAAAGAAAUUGAAGGGUUGCAAGAAGUCACUCAAGCGGUUGAAACACUCAACAGCAGCUUGCCCAACGGCUAGAUGAUCUAGUCCUUUUAACAAAAGGCUAACCAUCUUGGAAGGCUAUAGAGAAUUCAAAUUUGCUUGAUCGGUUGGAGGCUGGUGAGUAUAUAAACGACGUAGAUUUUGAAAAUCUUGGACAAUCUAUCGGCCCGUCUACAAGACAAAACGCUUCUCCAGCUAACCAAGGGCUAGGUACAAAAAACCUCGAACGUUACAAAAUUCUUAAA